rnacentral:rRNA from 1 species
UACGGAGGGUGCGAGCGUUAAUCGGAAUUACUGGGCGUAAAGCGCACGCAGGCGGUUUGUUAAGCUAGAUGUGAAAGCCCCGGGCUCAACCUGGGAUGGUCAUUUAGAACUGGCAGACUAGGGUCUUGGAGAGGGGAGUGGAAUUCCAGGUGUAGCGGUGAAAUGCGUAGAUAUCUGGAGGAACAUCAGUGGCGAAGGCGACUCCCUGGCCAAAGACUGACGCUCAUGUGCGAAAGUGUGUGUAGCGAACAGG